AAUGUAUGAAAGCGUAGGCUCACAGCCAUAUUAAGCGGGGCCACGAAGCAAGGAAUGAUUGUCUCUUGAGAGGGUUUUCUACUGUCCAGAUAACAAUUGUGCAGAACCACCGAGCUUCACACAGCUCGCCAGCCCUGUGUGGGACUUCCAGGGCCCUCACCAAACUUUGCUGCUUGCCUGGGACUGCAAAAACAGGCAGUGGGAGAGGUUCUCAGGCAGCAGCGGGCCACAACCCUCACCCAGCCUGCCAGGUUACAAGGCGGAACACUUGCUUCCGUGGGUCUGAGCCACCUCUCUCCCCACACCCCUUCCCCACACCCCUUUUAAAUGUAUAUUAUAUAACUCUAUUUGUGGCUUACCUCAUAGGCAGUGUCUUAGGAAGCAUCGCUUCUCUGUUUGCUGCUUGUUGCACUUUAAAAACAAACAGAUAUUUCCUAUAACGUUGCACAGUCUUGACUUCGACUACCGUAGCUUUAAAUACUUGUUCCAGCAUCAAGAAGAGUAGCUUUAGAAUCGCCCUGAGGAGAUCCGGUUCACUCUCGCAGCGCCAGCGCCUGCUCCAGAUCCCGCAAGGGGGGGGGGUGUCCUUCUUGUCGCAAACCCCACUGUCCGAAAUGGGGAGGACAGUGUAGCUGGAGGGUGGCACUUAUUUUUGCUCCUGUCACCGGUUGUGCUCUUGGAGAGGGUCGGGAGAACAGCAGCAACACCGAGGAGGAGCAGAGCCCUGGAUCCCCCUCCUGGGAUAUGGGCCUCAGCCGGGGACUGUCAAUUCCAGCACUUGCCACCACACUCUGUUGUCCCCUCAGAAACACUUUUUGUUCUGGUGGGAGGGAAGUUCAGCAAUGCAGAAAUAAAUUGGUUUUUUUCAGGAUCGGGACUUGUGGGCAGAAUUCUUGGAGGAGCAAUAUUCAGGGUUGUGUCCAAUGUUUCACACCCAUUAUGGACAUAAAUUUCAGUGAGUCUGAGCAGAAUUUAGUGGCAUACAACCCUCAAGGUUUGCCCUCACUUGCUUAGCAACCAUCAAAAAUUGUUAUCAGAUAUAUCCACUGGAAGAACACAGGAUACCACCCCCCUCCUUCAAAGUAGUAAUGCAUACGUGCUUGGUAUUUAUAUAUGUUGGGGAAUAGAAUGCAAAAUAUGCCAAGGAAGAAAUUAUUCAGCUGCUUAUUGCUCUUAAUUUAUUCUGGAGCCUGUAUAAUCGCUGCUCUUAAUUUUAAUGCAUAGAUCUGUGCUCGGGUGUUAAUAACUCGCCCUGAACUACUCAUGUGUUGGUAGAGGUUUGCAAGGUUGCCUUACAGCUCUUCCCAUCCCCUGUCGCAUCUCAACCUCAUCGUCCUCACUGUUAACAUCUUAGAGAAAAUAAACUGGCAGGCAAGACUGCGUCUUUUAAUCUGGGACCUGCUGCAUGUUUAACUGGCUGAGAUUUCUAGCAUUGCUGUUGUUAACAACCAAGGUUCUAGUCCCUUGUGAUAGCAGAGAAACGUUUUUUAACACAGGCAAAUAUGGCAAAUGGUUUUGGAGAUUUAUUUAUUUUUUUAGUGCAAGGCCUGAAGUUGGUGAAGGGGUAGAAGCAUGUCUGAAGGCGUAUUCUCCUAAAUCAGUUUGUAACCAGUCGAGCUGUCAUGGCUCCUGGCCAGGAAACUCAGGGACUGGGGUUCUGUGGUGUGCAUCUUAACAAACAAUAUUCAGCCACCUCCUCACAUUGUGGCUUGAGUCAGUUUCAUUUGUGGGGUGGAAGCUUACGUAACUCAUUUAAAAGAAGUUGUAGAAAGUGAGUUCUGACGGAUAGCCAUGCCCUAUGCAACACAGAACUCUUUGCUGCGCAAAAUGUUAACACAGCUAAUUCUAACCUAUUGAAAGGUUCCUGAUAAAAGGGACCAGUAUGAUGUAGGAGUUAGUGGGUCAGAUUUGUAUUGGGGAGAAUCACUCUGAAAUCCCCACUCAAGAUCUGUGAUCUUUGCCUGAUGGCUUGCUCUCAGCCUUAGCUACUUUAUAGGGUGGUUGUGAGAAUAAAAAAGUAGGGAGGGACCAUAAUAUACACUAUCCGAAAAUAAGUAGAGGAAAGGUGGAAUUAACUAAUUAGGGGAGGGGCCCACUGCAUGUUCUGAAGGGAUGUGAUGCAGCAGCCAGCCUUGGGGUCACUACUUGGAAGGGAGAUCAGCUGGAGACUCCCACAUUUGAUGCCCCCUGACUGCAUGGUGCUGAUAACGCCAAGGUUGCAGGUUCGAUCCCCGUAUGGGACAGCUGCAUAUUCCUGCAUUUGCAGGGGGUUGGACUAGAUGAUCCUCAGGUUCCCUUCUAACUCUACAGUUCUAUGAUUCUUUGGAUGAAGGCGGGAUCUAAAUGAAAUGGGGGGGGACUGCAGGCCUAUAUCCACUUCAGUGGCGUAGCGUGGGUUGUCAGCACCCGGGGCAAGGCAAGUAAUUUGCGCCCCCUAACCCGUGGAUUUGCGCCCCCUAACCCGUGGAUUUGCGCCCCCUAACCCUAACCCCCAGAUGUUGCGGCUGGCCCCCCCUGCACCCCCACGCUACGCCACUGAUCCACUUACCCAGAAGCAAGGCCCGUUGGGGUUAAAUGGGGCUUACUUCUGUGUAAGUGUGUCUAAGAGUGUGUUAUAAAUGUGGCCAAAUGCACUUGCUGGAUAACAACACACUUGGCAAUCUUUGAGGGGAACACAAGAUCAUGGCAGCAACAAUGGAACAAGCAGGUGGUGCCCUAGCUGCUGCUGGAGUCCUCAUCUUUGCGAGCACAAAGCAUGAUGGGAACUGUAGUUUUUGGGACUCCAGCCCCCUGUGACAUGGGAAAUGGACUGACUUGCCUUUAAUAGACUGUCAGGGCACAAAGCUUGUAAGCUGCCGCCGAAAUUAUCUCUCUCCUUUUAAAAACGCCUCAAAAUAGCCAAUGGUUUCCCUAUAAACCAAGUUGCAAAUGUUAAUGCUUGAGCUCAGUGCGAGAGCUCUGUGUUGACCAGCAAAGCUUGCUUGUUCUCAACAGAUUUUUUUUUGGCUCGAGAUACAGGCCUGUCCUUUGACUAUUUGCUGUCUACAUCUUCAAGCUGCUACAAAAAAAGAUGUGUAGGCAGUUUAAUAGAAGAGGGGUGACGCAUUGCCCUGUCUUGUUGACCCUGCAGUUGCCCUCCCUCCUGGCCUCCUCUCCACAAAUCUAAACACUGCUGCAUAAAUGUAAGUGUAUUUUAAUAUCAUUUAGGCUGCAGUGUAGAAAUGGGGGUGGUGAUCUGGCCUGGGAACGAUGUUCAGCCUUGCCUGUGAGCCCCAUCAACCUUUUGUUUUUUUUUUGUGCAUCAGAUCUGUGACUGUGUCCAUUCCAAGCUCAUUGCACUUUUCCUCCUCCUCCUCCCUCCAAGGUCCCAUGUCCUGUGGGUGUUGCAGCCCUCAGCAUCUUUGACUGGAGAAAUGCAGCCUUGGUUUGGGUUGUUUAUAUGUCUGUCUGAAGUGCUGUACUGGUUAACCUUUAUGUCUGCAACUGCCUCCUGUGUGUUGCCUGUCAACGAGAUAAAUGUUUAAAAUGAAAUAAAUAAAAAUAAAACUCCAAAAAACUAUGCAAUAAAAGCAAUAGCAUGGAU